UCUCCUCCUCCCCACCGCGCCCCGCGCCUCUAUGGAAACGUAAACAAACAAUGAAAAUCGGCCAUAUACCGAUAAUACCUACUCAUAUAAUUGAUGAUGAUAGGGUUUUAACCAGAAUUUUAGAGUGGACAUCGCCGCUGUUCGAUAUUAAUCGUAAGGUAUAGUGCUUGAUUGUUUCCGGUCCGGAAUAUUGAAUUGUUCCAUUCCGGUUAUUGUUGUAGGAGGUUAGUGUUCUCCUGUGCCUCAAUGUUUACACGCACAAUUAAGUUGAACUCGGCCCAGAAAUGUUCUUGACAUGAGCAAGAGAAGUCUAUGGAGUCAUUUUACCCAAAAGAAUAGGAAGAUCGGCCUGGAGGUGUUUCUGUCCUGGACAUCAGCCGUGCAGCCCAUGGAAUCAUCAGAUUUAAGUUGAGUUGGUGUCACAGUGGUAACCGUUGGUCCAGUUAUUUUAUCUACCCCCCUGUAACAUCACCCACAUUGUGGAAGGGUCUAGCGGAGCCGUUCCGCUCAACGCUGUGGAGUCAGCGGACCCCUUGCAUGGGGACAAUACGUGCAACGCGUGACCUCACUGCGUCAAUGAGGGGGCUGGACGUGUCGCCCUAAGCCGUCCAAAAAAACCUCCCCUCCCCCUGCCCUCCUCUCGGCUGCGGCUGCUGUGGAGGUAGUAGUAGGCUGCCGCCGCUGCUGCGGGGGCUGUGGGGGUAGUAGUAGUGGUAAUCCUACUGCUGCCACUGCAGCCGCUGCAUCAGAGACGUCUGUGACGUCACUGCGGUAGUUGUGGCUGUCUGCUACUACAUCCACAGUUACUACAGCUUCUAGCUAACUAGGUGUAGGAAAUCAAGUAAAAUAUGUCAGAUGUAGUGAUUUUCUAUUCUUUAUUGUUUCAAAUCAUUUACAUUAUAAGAGUAAGUCUUCCUCAAGUAGCUGGCUUGUUUCUGCUGGUGACUUGGAGCGAAUCUGAAUACCUGAAAAAGAAUGAAAAAAAUCUAAGUUAAAUUCAAAUUCUCAGUUCAACUCAAACAUGUUCUGGACCAUAUGUAUCACUGUAAUGCCAACUCAUCGAAUGAAAUUCUAUGUUACAGGUGGCCAGCAUCAAGUCCAGGCAUAUCCCUAUGGACAAGAAACAGCAUCACUUCCUAUUUUACUACGACUGUACCAUACAAAUGAAAUAAAUAGCAGCAUUACUGUCAAA